CGGUUUGCUUGUGCUUUCAUUUCCUGCCUCCUCCCGGCUCCCUGUUGUGCCACCAGCUGUUGGGAGUUUCGCAUGAGAAGGGGGGGGGGCUCUUGGGUCCUCAUCUCCCCCCCCCCCAGAAAAAAGACAUGGAGCUUCAAUUCCUGUGCCUCCGAGACCAGCUGGUGGCUGCUUUGAUACAGAGUCCUGCCGAGCUCAACCCAGAGUCUUUGCAGCGGCUGGUGGAGAUGUCUCUGCCCCCGGCGAAGAAGUACCGAGAGAUCGACGUGAAGGGCAUCAUACGGGCCAAUACUCAGGGAGAGGCCAAAAAAAAAACUCUGGCAGAUGAUCCUAGAGCCGCUCUGGAACAUCCUCUUUUGAAAAAAAAUACCGGAUGCGCAACCUCUUGAACCCGCAAGACAAGCUAAGCGGGCUUCAUGGCGCUGCCGGUCAAGUCUCUAACAACCUCCGCCUUCCUCCGCUGACACAGUCGACACGAUCCAGGGCGGACGGGACGUCCUUCGCCUCUAUGGCUACUCAGAAGAACAGAGCGAUGGACUCUGCUUCCCUGAGGGCCUGCAGGAACCGGACACCCUCCGAGUCGCCUCCAUCACUGUGGACGUCAUGCUGUUACGAGCCG